rnacentral:rRNA from 1 species
AUGAACGCUGGCGGCGUGCCUAAUACAUGCAAGUCGAGCGAACGGACGAGAAGCUUGCUUUUCUGAUGUUAGCGGCGGACGGGUGAGUAACACGUGGAUAACCUACCUAUAAGACUGGGAUAACUUCGGGAAACCGGAGCUAAUACCGGAUAAUAUUUUGAACCGCAUGGUUCAAAAGUGAAAGACGGUCUUGCUGUCACUUAUAGAUGGAUCCGCGCUGCAUUAGCUAGUUGGUAAGGUAACGGCUUACCAAGGCAACGAUGCAUAGCCGACCUGAGAGGGUGAUCGGCCACACUGGAACUGAGACACGGUCCAGACUCCUACGGGAGGCAGCAGUAGGGAAUCUUCCGCAAUGGGCGAAAGCCUGACGGAGCAACGCCGCGUGAGUGAUGAAGGUCUUCGGAUCGUAAAGCUCUGUUAUUAGGGAAGAACAUAUGUGUAAGUAACUGUGCACAUCUUGACGGUACCUAAUCAGAAAGCCACGGCUAACUACGUG